CAAGAAGGAUGCAAUUUACAGGCCCUUACACCUUCAGGUCCCAGCCAGAACCAGGAAGAGCAAUAUGAGAGGCAGUACAAAAGACUAUUUGCUGCAUUUCUGGCCUAAUUUAGGAGGAGGAAGCAUCAAGCAUCUGAGAAAGAAACCUGUUUGUUCAGGACGUCCAGUCCAGACUUGCACAGAACAACUAGUGAUGGACAAUGGAUCACAAUUCACUGCAGCAGAACGUAAGUCAUUCUGAAUGAAAUAAGAUCUAGAUCAUAUUACUAGCAGCCCACAUUACCCACAAGUGAAUAGAGAGGCUGAAGAUCCUGUACAAACAGCUAGGAUAAUCUUACAUCAGGAAGAUCCAUUCCUUGCUCUUUUGAGUUAAAGAGCAGCUACUGAAUAUCAUUGAAUCAUAGAAGAUUAGGGUUGGAAGAUUAGGGUUGGAACAGGAGGUCAUCUAGUCCAGCAGCAUUAGCCGCAUCAUUCUGAACACCUUGAAGUUUACGGAGCAUGGAGAUUAGGAAAAGCAUAA